rnacentral:rRNA from 1 species
UGCCAGCCGCCGCGGUAAUACGAAGGGGGCGAGCGUUAUUCGGAAUCACUGGGCGUAAAGGGUGCGUAGGCUGUUUUGCAAGUUAGGCGUGAAAGCCCGGAGCUCAACUCCGGAAUUGCGCUUAAAACUGCAAGACUCGAAUUCGGGAGAGGAUAGCGGAAUUCCUAGUGUAGUAGUGAAAUACGUAGAUAUUAGGAGGAACACCAGUGGCGAAGGCGGCUAUCUGGACCGACAUUGACGCUGAGGCACGAAAGCGUGGGGAUCAAACAGGAUUAGAUA